AUUGAACGCUGGCGGCAGGCCUAACACAUGCAAGUCGAGCGUGCGGCGGACGGUUGAGUACUGUUUAGGGACUGCCCGAUAGAGGGGGAUAACUACUGGAAACGGCGGCUAAUACCGCAUAAUGUCGGAUAACCCAUAUGGGAUUAGCUCGUAGGUAAGGUAAUGGCUUACCUAGGCAACGAUCCCUAGCUGGUCUGAGAGGCUGAUCAGCCACACUGGGACUGAGACACGGCCCAGACUCCUACGGAGGCAGCAGUGGGGAAUAUUGCACAAUGGGCGCAAGCCUGAUGCAGCCAUGCCGCGUGUAUGAAGAAGGCCCUAGGGUUGUAAAGUACUUUCAGUCGGGAGGCGUUACCGACAGAAGAAGCACCGGCUAACUCCGUGCCAGCCGCCGCGGUAAUUC
rnacentral:rRNA from 1 species